AUUUAUACAAACAUUACUGAGUCUGGGAUCUUGAUUGGAUGUUGAAGUUGAUGCUUGGGAUCUCGUUUUAUACCUAUUGUAACGGGCCAAAAUUGCCCGAGGCCCAACAACCAAAAAACCAAAAUUAAAAACAAAACAAAAAAAAAUAUAAUAAAAACCCAAUAACAUAUAGUCCAUUAAAUGUCUAUUUACAAACUUUAGCCUGAAACAUUACAAACCCAAACCCAAUUUUUAGACCCAAAACCAAAUUAACCCCAAUGCCCAAACUAAUGCCCUAUGGUCCAAUUACAAAAAUUAUGGCCCAACUACUAGAAUAGGCCCGAAAAGCCCAAAUUGUCAAUGUUCCAGAAACACUAGGGCUCUCCCUCGCUUUGCGCGGCAACCGAGCCCCCCCUCAGCACCUCCGUACGCUCCAGUCUCCAGCAACCACGCCAACACAGCCCUGUACACCUCACGCCAAGGGCCAGCGCACGCCCGUACUCUACCUGCAAGAAGGACAAUCCACACAGCAACAAACACAAACAAAAAUAGCAGAACAACAAAUGAAAAAAUGGCAUUUUUAAUUUAUUUUCCUUUUUUAUUUUUUCCUUCGGCUAUAAAGCCAUAGUUCUUAGUCUAUGUAAAGGUUACGAACGCUUACGCACAUGGAGAGAUACAAAAAAAGAAUCAAAUAACAAAAGGUGAUUUCUUUUGUUUUUCUUCUGGGUUUUUUGCUUUAGAUUUCUACGAGUUGAUUCGUUUUCUCCUUAAGCCUUUCUUCAUUGUUUUGUUAAGAGAUAAAAGAAUAAGAAAAGAAGGGCUUACCUUCGCGAACGAGCCAUAGGGGACGGUUUCCUCUUCGCCAAAAUCAAAGCUCAGGAUCGAUCUCUCGAGGCUAAAACUCGGUCUCUAUACGAGGACCAAAGUGGGGAGAUAGGAUGGUUCCUCUGCGUGCCAUCAUCCACCAACUUCAAUGGUGGAAUAAGGAUGGUCGGUUAGCAGAACGAAGAAGAGGGGGGGCGCUUAGGUUUUUCUUCCCCUUUCCCAUCAUUUGUCUGCUGCGGCGCUUCGGAGUGUCUUAGGUUUUUCUUUUUCUUUUUAACUUAUAGAGGGAAACGACGUCGUCUAAGGCAUGGUCUGAUAGCCCUAAAAACGACGCCGUACAAGCCAUAUCCAAUUGGACCUGAUCCGAAUGCCCCUGGGAUCCGCGCAUUUUCGUGGUGAGGGGUUAUUUUCCAUAUCGGUCCCUUUCCUUUCGCGCUUCAGUUCAAUCAGCCCACGCUUAUGUUUCAUUUUCUUAAAAUUGCUCCUGUGAUUUGCAUACGUUCGCGCUUUAGUCCGCAUUUGCACAUAGCGUUUUGGAGUCUGGAAUAAUUCGAGUUUUGGUCCUCAUAUAUUUGUAUACAUCACACGCUGGUCCCUUUUGUUAUUUUGGCAGUUGUUUUCAUUUAUCAUUUGUCUCUCUUAUUUUAAUUCCAUUUCAAUUGAGUCUCCUUUCUUUAUUUAUUCAUUUUAUGGUUUAUUAUCAUUUUUUAAGACACAUCCAAUAUUUUUUAUCCUUGUUUAUUUAUUUUUUAUAUAUUAUAAGUUAUUUUAAUGAUUUGAUUUCGUUUUUUUAAUCACUUUUGUAAUGUUUUUUUUACAUACACUAUUAUACAUACAUAUAUACUUUAUAUCAAAGUUAAUUUUUUUUAUUCCAUAUAUAUAUUUAACCUUGUAUCAUUUUAUACAUAUGGCUUCUUUUGAAUUUAUUCUUAUAUUUUAUUAUAUAAUCUUACAUAACAUAUCCUUUAAAUUAUUAUAUAUUUUAUCGUUAUCUAUAUUUGGUCUAUAUAUAUUAUUAGACCCAUGUAUUUUAAUGUGUAUUUUUGCUAUGAUAAUAUGUUUUGUAUAUAUGUUCUAUAUAAAUUAUUUUUAUACUUGCCCAUAAUAGCAUAUGUAUUUGACUUACAUACAUUUUUUAACCUAUACAUAUUAUCAUUUUCUAUACGAAUUCACAUGAACUUACUUUUAAAUUUAUGUAUAUUAAUACAUUCACUACUUUAAUGGAUUUUUCUAUUUUUAAAACCCCUUUUAGCUUUGUGAUUUAUCAAGUGCUUUCAAUAUACAUAUAUGAAAUUAUUUUAGAAACUUCAUCUUUAUAAUUUUAAAGAUCAUUAUUUUUGAGUUUUUCUCGAUGUUAUAUUUAUGUUUUUAUAUAGCCUCUUGUUUAAAUAUUCUUAAUAAAAAGGUGCGUGUAUAUUUUUAUAUUAACAAUAUGUAUAUAUAUAUGUGUAUAUCUUAUUAUUAAUCUCAUGCUUUUUAUAAACUUACAUGUAUAUGUGACUUAUAAGUCUAUUUUGUGGAUUGCGUCUUGUCAUGUAUCUUCACUAUUAUUCUAUUAUAUUAUAUAUAUAGUUUCUAAAUCAUCAUGUAGUCGGUCAACUUAUAUUUUAUAUGUAACGCCCCACGCCCGAGACCGUCGCCAGAGUCGAGUAUGAGGUGUUACUAAGCUUAAUUUAACAUUUUUAGAACUUUGGAUUAUUUGUUUCUACAUUCACAGCUUUUAAGCUACUUGCGUCACAGUCACAAGAAAAAUCAUAUCUCGAGUUACGAAACUCGAAAUCAAGAUCCGUAAAUUUUCCCUGAAUCUAGACUCAUAUACCUAUCUAUAAUUUUUUUAUAAAAUUUUUGGUUGGGCCAAUUCAUACAGUUUAUUAGUUAAAGUUACCCCUGUUUCAGGACUUGACUGGUCUGACCUCUGUUUACUACGAACCACAUUUCUCUCUAUACAAAAUUCAUAUGACUAUGAGGUUUGUUUCUCAUAAAACUAGACUCAAUAAGGAUUCUUAGGAUAUAAAAUACACCACCUAAUUAUAUCUUUAAAAUUUAUGGUGAAUUUAUAAAGUAGGAACAGGGGAUUCAGAAACUGCUAUGAACCUGUUUCACUAAAAUUCAAAUAUCUUCUAACAUAUAAUUCCUUUACCUGUUUCAUUUGUUUCAUGUGAAACUAGACAUAAUAAGCUUAAAUUUGAUAUGUAGUCCAUCACCAAAUUAAAUUUCUAUGAUUUUUAGUAAAUUUUCAAACUCGCGUCAGUGUUGCUGCAGUAUUCUGUUUAUGGCAAAUUUCAUCCCUCUUAUGAGUUUUUAUGCACUAAGUAUCUUAAUAAUUUUCCUUAACAUCAAACAUAAUCUAAACUUACCAUUUUCAUAAUUUAUCAUUAUCAAAUAUUUUCUCAACCAUUCUGUCACCAUAUCAUAAGAUCAUUUACACAAAAUAAGUAUAUUGCUAUACAUGCCAUACUUAAAUUUACAAGCCAUUUACCAAAAAUCUUCCUGAUAGUGUGACGGAGCCUUCGACCUAUCCCGACUCCUGAACUGGCUUGUCCAAAACUACAAUGAGUAAGAAGGAGGGAGUAAGCAUAAAUGCUUAAUAAGUUCAUAUGUAAAUAAUAAAUAACAUAACAAACAAUCAAACUAAUCAACAUUAGCAUAUAUCAUCAACACACUUAUCACAUUUUUUAAUCAUUUUCCAUCAUCUUAUUACCUUAUCGUGGUUGUCAUUAACACUCAACCCGAGGGUUAAAUACAUACCUGUCCAAAAUAUCCAUUUCUCAUCACUUACCAAUACGUCUCUUUUCAGCUCGAGUAUUCCUCCAUUUGAGUAAAACUUUACCCGUUGAACACAUCGGAAUAUAAUUCGGAUACAUGGAUAAUUUGCAUAUAAGAGCCUCAUAUGUAAUCAAGCUACCAUGUAACCCGCCCAUAAGUGAACUCGGACUCAACUCAACGAGCUCGGGCGUUCGCAUCCAUAAGUGAACUCAGACUCAACUCAACGAGUUCGGAUGCCUAGUUACAUUUCACGAACUCGGACUCAACUCAACGAGUUCGGACAUUCGCAUCCAUAAGUGAACUCAGACUCAACUCAACGAGUUCGGAUGCUCAACCAUCCUAGUGACAUGUCACGUGUAUCCUAAUCUAUUCCUAAGGUUCAAACGGGCGUUUUCCUCGAUCACACAUCUUUUCCGUCUUCCACGGAAUAUCGAAAUCGGUACUUCGAUGAUAGUUCAUACUCAUCAAGUAAUUCACAUAAUUACAUAUUAUUCAACAAUAACCACAAAGCAUAAUAUUUCAUGAUAAUAAUCAGCAUCAUAUCAUAUAAACAACAUUAAAUUGGUUAAAAUGACAAUUAUGUUACUACAUUUACACAUGAACUUACCUUGGUACCAAAAUAUAAAGAUUUUGUAAUUUAGUCCAUAAUCUUUUCUUUUCCUCGAUUGAGGUCGAUUCCACGUCUUUCUUGAUCUAAAAUAACACAUUUAGUUCAUUUAAUACUCACAUUAUCAAAUUAAUCCUUAACUCAAAUUUUGGCAAAAUUACAAUUUUUCCCCUAAACUUUUGCAUAUUUACAUUUUUGCCCCUAGGCUCGGGAUUAAACUUUAUUCCUUAUUCUUAUGUUUUACAACAUGCUGAUCACUUUUCUCUUCUAUGGCAACAUCAAAUUCUCACUCUAACAUGUACUUGUGACUAUUAGGUAUUUUUACCGAUUAAGCCAUUUUACUCGUUUUUGCUUAAAAUCGAGUAGUACAAGUUGUCUAACAUAAUUUAAAACCCCAUAUUCUAUCAUAAAACAUCAAAAUACACAAAUUUCACCUAUGGGUAUUUUUCCAAAUAUAAACCCUAGGUUGAAUUAUUGCUAACAUAAGCUUAAUCGAGCUAUCGGGAUUCCAAAAACGUAAAGAACAUUAAAAACGGGCUUGGAAUCACUUACUAUGGAGCUUGGAAGCUUGAAACAAACCCUAGCUAUGGAGAACCCUUGAAAUUUCGGCCUAAUGAAGAAGAUGGACAAAAAUUGGCUUUUAAUUUUGUUUUUAAUUCAUUUUAAUAACUAAAUGACCAAAAUACCCUUACUACUAAACUUUCCAAAAAUUCCUUCCAUGUCCUAAUUUUGUCCAUGAACUUAAAGUUGGUCAAAUUGCUAUUUAAGACCUCCUCAUUAGUAUUCCAAAACAAUUUCAUACAAAAAACUUCUAGAAUGCAAGUUUUGCAACUUAUUCGAUUUAGUCCCUACUUUCAAUUUAAGCACUUUAGGUAUAGAAUUUCAUCACGAAAUUUUCACACAAUCAUGCAAUCAUAUCAUAAUCAUCAAAAUAAUUAUAAAAUAAUUAUUUCUAUCUCGGAUUUGUUGUCACGAAACCACUAUUCCGAUUAGGUCCUAAUUCGGGAUAUUACAACUCUCCCCCCCUUUAAGGAUUUUCGUCCUCGAAAAUCUUACCUGUAAACAGAUGUGGGUAUUGAUUUCUCAUAGUUUCUUCGGAUUCCCAUGUAGCUUCUUCUAAUCCAUGCCUUUUCCACAACACCUUCACAAGUGCAACAUUUUUAUUCCUUAGUUGUUUGACCUCUCGAGCUAAAAUCUUAAUCGGUUCUUCUUCGUAGGUCAUAUCUGGUUGUAGUUCAAUUUCUGUCGGUGAAACUACAUUUGAAGGAUCCGAACGAUACCGACGUAACAUAGAUACGUGGAACACAUCAUGAAUCUUCUCUAAUUCAGGUGGUAAUGCUAGCCGAUAUGCUACCGGUCCAACUUUUUCAAUUACUUCAUACGGCCUAAUAAAACGCGGACUUAAUUUGCCCUUCCGUCCAAAUCUAAGGACUUUCUUCUACGGAGACACCUUUAAAAAUACUUUAUCACCAACUUGAAAUUCAAUGUCCUUUCGUUUUAGAUCUGCAUUAGAUUUCUGUCUAUCUGAAGCAGCUUUCAAACAAUCUCGAAUUACUUUCACUUUUUCUUUAGUUUCUUUUAUUAGAUCAACUCCAUAAAUCUGAUUUUCCUUGAGUUCAGUCUAAUACAAUGGUGUUCGACACUUACGACCAUAUAAUGCUUCAUAAGGUGCCAUUUUCAAGCUCGUCUGAUAACUAUUGUUGUAAGUAAAUUCUACCAGCGGCAAAUAUCUUUCCCAACUUCCUUGAAAGUCCAAUACACAACAUCUAAGCAUAUCUUCAAGAAUCUGAAUUACUCUCUCUGAUUGUCCAUCAGUUUGUGGAUGAAAAGCAAUACUGAAAUUUAACUUUGUACCUAACGCGUCUUGCAACUUUUGCCAAAACCGCGAGGUAAACCUUGGAUCUCUAUCUGAAAUAAUCGACAAUGGUAUUCCGUGUAAUCUAACAAUUUCUCUAAUAUAUAGUUCAGCCAACUUGUUAAGAGAAUAAUCCGUACGUACCGGGAUAAAAUGAGCCGACUCAGUUAAUUUGUCAACUAUUACCCAGAUGGCAUCUUUCUUUCUUGGAGUCAAUAGCAAUCCUGAAACAAAAUCCAUAGUAAUCCGAUCCCAUUUCCAUUCAAGAACCAUAAUAGGCUGAAGUAAUCCCGAAGGCACUUGGUGUUCAGCUUUCACUUGUUGACAAACUAAGCACUUUGAUACAAACUCGGGAAUAUCUCUUUUCAUUCCACUCCACUAGUACAUUUUCUUUAAGUCAUUAUACAUCUUCGUACUGCCCGGAUGAACCGCUAAACAACUAUUAUGUGCUUCAUGCAAAAUCUAUUGAAUCAACUCAUCAUUUUUCGGUACACAAAUCCGAUUUUUAAACAUCAAACAACCAUCAGAACCGAUUCUGAAAUCUGAUCCCGUAUCAACUUCACACUGUUUUCUCUUGGCUAGCAAAUCUUGAUCAUUUUUCUGAGCUUCAAAAAUCUCUUGUAAAAACAUCGGUAUUGCUCUUAACUCUGCUAGAAUCGAACCAUCAUCUGACACUUUCAACUGAGUGUUCAUAACUCUCAAAGCAAACAACAACUUUCUGCUCAAAGCAUCAGCAACCACAUUCGCUUUUCCCGGAUGAUAAUCAAUAACAAGCUCGUAAUCUUUCAAUAAUUCCAACCAUCUUUGCUGUCUUAAAUUCAAGUCUUUUUGUGACAUCAAGUACUUAAGACUUUUAUGGUCGGUAUAUACCCGGCACUUUUCACCAUACAAAUAAUGUCGCCAAAUUUUCAAAGCAAACACCACCGCAGCCAAUUCCAAAUCGUGAGUAGGAUAAUUCCUCUCAUGAGGUUUUAACUGCCUCGAAGCAUAUGCCACCACUUUUCCUUCUUGCAUGAGCACACACCCCAAACCAUUUAGAGAAGCAUCACUAUACACCACAAAUUCUUUACCUGAUUCGGGCUGUACUAACACUGGUGCCUCAGUUAAUAACUUUUUCAAUUCUUCAAAACUCUGUUGACAUUCUUCCGUCCAUUCAAAUUUAACAUCCUUUCGGAGUAAUCUAGUUAUAGGAGCAGCAAUUAUAGAAAAUCCAUUUACAAAUCACCGAUAAUACCCAGCUAGCCCCAAGAAACUUCUAACUUCGGUUACGUUUUUCGGUGGUUUCCAAUCAACAAUGGCUAAAAUUUUACUAGGAUCAACCCGUAUACCAUCACCUGAAACAAUAUGACCCAAAAAUCCAACUUCUCAAAGCCAAAAUUCACUUUUACUAAACUUAGCAUACAGCUGCUUAUUUCUCAAAGUUUGCAAAACUACCCUCAAAUGCUCAGCAUGCUCUGUAUCAUCUUUUGAAUAAAUUAAAAUAUCAUCUAUAAACACCACAACAAAUUUGUCCAAGUCUGGCUGAAAUAUGCGAUUCAUUAAAUCCAUAAACACAACAGGAGCAUUUGUCAAUCCGAAUGGCAUAACUAAAAAUUCAUAAUGACCAUACCUUGUUCUAAAAGCAGUUUUAGGCACAUCCGACUUUUUUACCCGCAGUUGGUAAUACCCAGAUCUCAAGUCAAUCUUUGAAAACCAUGUCGCUCCUUUUAGCUGAUCAAAAAAAGCAUCAAUUCUUGGCAACGGAUACUUGUUUUUGAUUGUCACCUUGUUUAACUGCCGAUAAUCAACACACAACCUCAUAGAACCAUCCUUCUUUUUCACAAAUAACACAGGAGCACCCCAAGGUGAAAAACUCGGUCUCACAAAACCUUUAUCAGUCAACUCUUGCAAUUGCAACUUUAAUUCCUUCAACUCUGUUGGUGCCAUUCUAUACGGAGCAAUCGAAAUCGGAGCUGUUCCCGGUAUCAAAUCAAUACCAAAUUCUACUUCCCUGACUGGAGGCAAACCCGUCAAUUCUUCUGGAAAUACGUCCGCAAAUUCACACACAACCGGCACUGAUUCAACUUUCUUUUCAACUUCUUUUAUAUUAAUUACAUACGACAAAUAAGCUUCAUAACCCUUUCUCAGAUAUCUUUGAGCCGACAUUGAAGAAAUCACACUAGGCAAUGCCUCUGAUUUAUCUGAUUCAACCCGCAGAGUUUCACCAUUUCCACACUUUAAUUCUAUAAUCUUUUCUUUGCAAUUUAUUUUAGCAUCAUGCAAUGUCAACCAAUCCAUACCAAAAAUAACAUCAAACUCAUCAAACGACAACAACAUCAAGUCGGCCGGAAAGUAAUGAUCCCGAAUCAUUAAAGGACAUUUCUUACAUACUUUAUCGACAGUCACACAUUUGCCUAACGGAUUCGACACUCUAAUCAUAAAUUCUGUGUUCUCAACAGGUAUAUUCAUACUAUACACCAAUUUCAUGCACACAUAUGAAUGAGUAGAACCGGGAUCAAUCAAAGCAAUAACAUUAACAUUAUAGAGGGAAAAUGUACCGGUAAUCACAUCAGGUGAGGAAGCAUCUUCACGUGCUUUAAUAGCAUAAGUUCUAGCCGGAGCCCUUCCUUCAGGUCUAACUGGUGCAUCUCUGGCUUCAUUCUUACUGCUUGCUUCGCUCCCAGCUUUUCUUGGAUAUCUUCCUCUCGAAUCUGCCCCACUUGUUUUUGUAUUCUGAAAUUUUUCUUUUUCAGCUCUCUCUGGGCAGUCUCUAAUAAAAUGAUCCGAAGAACCACAUCGAAAACAUUCAUUUGCUCUACACGGACCAAAAUAAUUUCUACCACACAGCUGGCACUCAGGUUUAACAAAUCUCGAGUUCCCUACAUUGGCUGCCGAAGUAGUCUGGAAUUUAGGACCUACAUUUUGCUUCUUAUAAUUCCCAUAUGAUUGCCCAGCUGAAGCUUGGGAACGAGGAUUCAUAUUCCUUGACUUUCCAGGUUGCUGUGAAAAUGAACCACUCAUCGGUCUUUUCUUCCAAUUUCUAGUCUCAGCCUCUACCUUUUUCUUUUCUUUAAGUAAUUCUUCGGCCUUACAAGCUCGAUCAACCAAUACUACCAUUUCUUUUAAUUCAAGAAUUCCAACAAAUACCUUGAUCUCUUCGUUGAGCCCGUCUUCAAAUCGUCGGCACAUCUUGGCCUCUGUAGGAACAUACUCUCUGGCAUACUUACUUAAUCGAACAAACUCUCUUUCAUAUUCUGUAACCGUCAUAUUACCUUGCUUCAGCUCAAGAAAUUCUUUACGCUUCUGAUCAAUAAAUCUUUCACUAAUAUAUUUCUCCCGAAACUCUUCUUGAAAGAAUUCCCAAGUUAUUUUCUCUUUCGGUACCACCGAAAUCAAAGUCUUCUACCAAUUAUAAGCUGAAUCCCUCAACAAAGAUAUAGAGCAUUUCAAACAUUCUUCAGGUGUACAAGAUAAUUCGUCAAAUACCCGGAUUGAAUUUUCAAGCCAGAACUCUGCUCUCUCAGCAUCAUCAUCAAUAUUUUCUUUAAAUUCUUCGGCCCCUUGCUUGCGAAUUCUAUCAACUGGAGUUCUGUGAAAUUUCAUCAGAUCCAUACCUUGAGGCAUCGGGGGUACAGGUUGAGGAAUUGGGGGAGGUGGGGGAGGUUGUACAUUUGGGUUCGUACGAACGAACUCAGUGUACCAUGCACUCAUCAUUUGGAGAAAGGCUUCCCGACCCCUUUCUCUUCCUCCCUGACCAACAGUAGGAGGUGGGUUUUCAGUCGGCGCUACCCCUUCAGCCGGGGCUGGCGCAUUACUCUCUACUUCAUCUGCCACAGCUGGAUCGGGAUCCAUUUACUAUAAAAAAAUCAUUUAAAAAGGUCAGAAGUCGUCACACUAUCACAAUUUAUACAUAUGGCAUGUAUAGCAAAAUCCGUACAUACAACACGUAGUCUGAGAACCGACUAAACCUGCUCUGAUACCACUAAAUGUAACGCCCCCACGCCCGAGACCGUCGCCGGAGUCGAGUAUGAGGUGUUACUAAGCUUAAUUUAACAUUUUUAGAACUUUGGAUUAUUUGUUUCUACAUUCACAGCUUUUAAGCUACUUGCGUCACAGUCACAAGAAAAAUCAUAUGUCGAGUUAAGAAACUCGAAAUCAAGAUCCGUAAAUUUUCGCUGAAUCUAGACUCAUAUACCUAUCUACUAAUUUUUUUAUAAAAUUUUUGGUUGGGACAAUUGGUACAGUUUAUUAGUUAAAGUUACCACUGUUUCAGGACUUGACUGGUCUGACCUCUGUUUACUACAAACCAUAUUUCUAUCUGUACAAAAUUCAUAUGACUAUGAGGUUUGUUUCUCAUAAAACUAGACUCAAUAAGGAUUCUUAGGAUAUAAAAUACACCACCUAAUUAUAUCUUUAAAAUUUAUGGUGAAUUUCUAAAGUAGGAAUAGGGGAUUCAGAAACUGCUAUGAACCUGUUUCACUAAAAUUCAAAUAUCUUCUAACAUAUAAUUCCUUUACCUGUUUCAUUUGUUUCAUGUGAAACUAGACAUAAUAAGCUUAAAUUUGAUAUGUAGUCCAUCACCAAAUUAAAUUUCUAUGAUUUUUAGUAAAUUUUCAAACUCGCGUCAGUGUUGCUGCAGUAUUCUGUUUAUGGCAAAUUUCAUCCCUCUUAUGAGUUUUUAUGCACUAAGUAUCUUAAUAAUUUUCCUUAACAUCAAACAUAAUCUAAACUUACCAUUUUCAUAAUUUAUCAUUAUCAAAUAUUUUCUCAACCAUUCUGUCACCAUAUCAUAAGAUCAUUUACACAAAAUAAGUAUAUUGCUAUACAUGCCAUACUUAAAUUUACAAGCCAUUUACCAAAAAUCUUCCUGGUAGUGUGACUGAGCCUUCGACCUAUCCCGACUCCUGAACUGGCUUGUCCAAAACUACAAUGAGUAAGAAGGAGGGAGUAAGCAUAAAUGCUUAGUAAGUUCAUAUGUAAAUAAUAAAUAACAUAACAAACAAUCAAACUAAUCAACAUUAGCAUAUAUCAUCAACACACUUAUGACAUUUUUUAAUCAUUUUCCAUCAUCUUAUUACCUUAUCGUGGUUGUAAUUAACACUCAACCCGAGGGUUAAAUACAUACCUGUCCAAAAUAUCCAUUUCUCAUCACUUACCAAUACGUCUCUUUUUAGCUCGAGUAUUCCUCCAUUUGAGUAAAACUUUACCCGUUGAACACAUCGGAAUAUAAUUCGGAUACAUGGAUAAUUUGCAUAUAAGAGCCUCAUAUGUAAUCAAGCUACCAUGUAACCCGCCCAUAAGUGAACUCGGACUCAACUCAACGAGCUCAGGCGUUCGCAUCCAUAAGUGAACUCGGACUCAACUCAACGAGUUCGGAUGCCUAGUUACAUUUCACGAACUCGGACUCAACUCAACGAGUUCGUACAUUCGCAUCCAUAAGUGAACUCAGACUCAACUCAACGAGUUCGGAUGCUCAACCAUCCUAGUGACAUGUCACUAGUAUCCUAAUCUAUUCCUAAGGUUCAAACGGGCGUUUUCCUCGAUCACACAUCUUUGCCGUCUUCCACGGAAUAUCGAAAUCGGUACUUCGGUGAUAGUUCAUACUCAUCAAGUAAUUCACAUAAUUACAUAUUAUUCAACAAUAACCACAAAGCAUAAUAUUUCAUGAUAAUAAUCAGCAUCAUAUCAUAUAAACAACAUUAAAUUGGUUAAAAUGACAAUUAUGUUACUACAUUUACACAUGAACUUACCUUGGUACCAAAAUAUAAAGAUUUUGCAAUUUAGUCCACAAUCUUUUCUUUUCCUCGAUUGAGGUCGAUUCCACGUCUUUCUUGAUCUAAAAUAACACAUUUAGCUCAUUUAAUACUCACAUUAUCAAAUUAAUCCUUAACUCAAAUUUUGGCAAAAUUACAAUUUUGCCCUUAAACUUUUGCAUAUUUACAUUUUUGCCCCUAGGCUCGGGAUUAAACUUUAUUCCUUAUUCUUAUGUUUUACAACAUGCUGAUCACUUUUCUCUUCUAUGGCAACAUAAAAUUCUCACUCUAACAUGUACUUGUGACUACUAGGUAUUUUUACCGAUUAAGCCCUUUUACUCGUUUUUGCUUAAAAUCGAGUAGUACAAGUUGUCUAACAUAAUUUAAAACCCCAUAUUCUAUCAUAAAACAUCAAAAUACAUAAAUUUCACCUAUGGGUAUUUUUCCAAAUAUAAACCCUAGGUUGAAUUAUUGCUAACAUAAGCUUAAUCGAGCUAUCGGGAUUCCAAAAACGUAAAGAACAUUAAAAACGGGGCUUGGAAUCACUUACUAUGGAGCUUGGAAGCUUGCAACAAACCCUAGCUAUGGAGAACCCUUGAAAUUUCGGCCUAAUGAAGAAGAUGGACAAAAAUUGGCUUUUAAUUUUGUUUUUAAUUCAUUUUAAUAACUAAAUGACCAAAAUACCCUUACUACUAAACUUUCCACAAAUUCCUUCCAUGUCCUAAUUUUGUCCAUGAACUUAAAAUUGGUCAAAUUGCUAUUUAAGACCUCCUCAUUAAUAUUCCAAAACAAUUUCAUACAAAAAACUUCUAGAAUGCAAGUUUUGCAACUUAUUCGAUUUAGUCCCUACUUUCAAUUUAAGCACUUUAGGCAUAGAAUUUCACCACGAAAUUUUCACACAAUCAUGCAAUCAUAUCAUAAUCAUCAAAAUAAUUAUAAAAUAAUUAUUUCUAUCUCAGAUUUGUUGUCACGAAACCACUAUUCUGAUUAGGCCCUAAUUCGGGAUAUUACAUUAUACGUCCAUUUAUUCGUCAUUAUUGUGAAGUAGUUUUAUACCAUGUUGCUUCUUUGAUUUGCAUUUUAUUUUGUGCCUCUAAUAAUUUUAUUAUGUCAUGUAUACUACCGUUGCAUUUUAUUCAUUGUUUCAUAUGGCCUUGUUAAUUAUCAUUCAUACAUGAUUGAAGUUAGGUCAUAAUUUUUAGAUUAAUUAUAUUUUAUUACUUGUUCUGCUAAUUGAUUAAUAUUUUCAUUCGUUAAGCAUUGUAUCUCACAUAUACAUAUUACCCCAUUCAUUGUUUUCCUUUUUGAUUUUUGAAAUGUGGUUCUAAAACCCAAGUUUUAUGAUUAACUUUGCCUUAUUUCAAACCGAAUUAAUACGUCUUAAGCUAGCAUUAUAAUCAUUCAUUCAAAAGUUCUUCAAGUCGAAGACAGGAUUCGAUGUUUGGAAAUUCGCGGAAUCGUGCCGUAAUGUGUUGGGUGUCAAUUCCACGUUUGCUCAAAAUAAUCGAAUAUCAUUUCAAAAUUUCAAUCACGCCUUUUAAAAUUCCUCAAAACGAAGACAAGGUUCGAUAUUUAGCAAUUCGCGGAAUCGUGCCCUAACGUGUUGGGUUGCAAUUUUGCGUUUGCUCAAAAUAUUCGGGCUUCCCUUCAAAAUUCCAUUCAUAUCUUCUAAAAAAUUUUUAAAACGAAGGCAAUAUUCGGCGUUUGACAAUUUGAGAAUCAUGCCCUAUCGUGUUGGGUUGUGGUUUCUAGUUUGCUCAAAAUGAUCGAACAUUCCUUGGCAUUCUCACUCAUGUUUAGAAAAAAAAUGCUUAAAAACGAAGACGGUGUUCAAUGUUUGGCGAUUGAGAAUCGUGCCCUAUUGUGCUGGGUUGCGCUUUUUCAUUGGUUCGAAACAAUUGAAGAUCCCUUCGGAAUUUCCCUCACAUUUUCUAAAAUCUUUCAAAAUGAAGGCGAUGUCCGAUGUUUGGCGAUUUGAGAAUCGAUCCCUAUCGUGCUGGGUUGCGCUUUUUCAUUUGCCCAAAAUAAUCGAAUAUCUCCUCGGAAUUUUCACACGUAUUUUAUAAAGUAAGGCAAUGGUCAAUAUUUGGAAAUUCGAGGAAUCGUACCCUACUGUGCUGGGUUUCGAUUUUUUCGUUGGACCAAAUAGUUGAGCAUCCCUCUGUAAUUCUUUACUUUCGGACAUCGAAAUGAGAAAUUUUGGCAACCGACUCGGAUUACUCAAAUGUUAUUAAAAAGGAACCACAUUUUAAAAAACAUUUUUAAUUUUAGACAUAAGGACAGUAUUUAAUCGAUUGGGUACCAAUUUUGGGCGUAGUGAGGGUGCUAAUCCUUCCUCAUACAUAACCGACUCUCGAGCCCGUCUUCUCAUAUUCUCGUAGACCAGAAUCGUUGUUUUAGUAAACCAAAAAUGUUUUAUUAAGAAUUCCUAGGUGACCCGAUCACACGAAAAUAAAAGGAUCGGUGGCGACUCCCCAUUUUUUUUCAAAAAGUUAAUUUCCCCUUUUUUUUAAAUCUAGAAAUUUUUAAAUCAAAAGGGUGGUUUCGACAGCAUGGCGACUCCACUGGGGACAAAAACUUGAGAGUCGAGCCAUAUAAAUCAAUUAUUUACUGUCCUUUUGUUAAAAAACCGAAAAUUUAUUUUAAAAAUCAUGUAUCUUUCGAUUGCAUUUGAUUGUAUGUUUGUUUUGGUGCGGGUUUUGUAGAUUAGCACUGCAUUUCAUUGCAUGACCACUGUGGUCACACCUUCUAAGUGGGAGUAAGAAGCUACCUUUCGUGAGGUUUUCACCUCCGCAUGGGCUAGUGGAUUGCUUCCGGGGUACAUCUGUACCUAUGAUUUCGUGAGAUUUUCAUCUCCGCAUGGUCAUAUGGAAAUGUAUCCCCCCGAACCGAACUCGAUCUAUAUGAGCCUAUAAUGGGUGAGGAUUGAGGAAUCUGUUGGUUCGGGUACCCCUUUUCCUAGAACUAACACACAUAUAGUGAACCUUAGGAGCUGUCCUUGGGUGAAGCUGCGUCGAGCCUUAGUACCUACCCGUAUAUGCAUUAUAAUUAUCGUUUAUGUGCUUGCAUUCUAUUGUUAUUAUUUGAUACUAACCGGUGUUUUGUUUUGAUUAUCUUUUUUGCAUGACAUUGCAUAUUAAAGGAGGCUUUAAUCUGCAUUCAAUUACUAAGUUAGAAAAUUUGACAUGGAGAAUGAAUUUCUUAGUAAAGUCGAGGAUAAUGCGGCCGUUCGUGCAUGGUCGGAGAGGCUAAAAUCUGAGAGAGGGGAUAGCUUGGCAGAAGGAUAUGUGUCGGAGCUGCAGGAUUUCACUCGCGUCAAUGUAGUACAGAAUGAGCUGCAAGAGUUGAGAGACAUUUGGGUUAGUUGGGAUGGAAGGAUCAAGCAGUUGUUUUACCAAAGCUAUGGUGACAUAUCCUACCUGCUAGGUAUUAGAGUGGAUAAGCAUUUGUUCCGAGCCUUGGUGCAGUUUUGGAAUUCUACGUACAAGUGUUUCACUUUUGGAAAAGUGGAUUUGGUACCUACCAUGGAGGAAUACACUACGCUGCUUAGAUGUCCAAAGAUUUAGGUCUGGAAGACUUAUGCCCGGGUUUUUAGUAAUCAGGCUUUCGUGAAGAAACUGAUGAGCAUUUCUGGGAUGAACGAGCCUUGGGUCACUGCUCGGAUUUAGCAAAAAGGAGAUAGCAAAUGUGUCCCUUGGGAGAAUUUGCGAGAUUUGAUCUUGACUCAUCCAGACGAAAGAAAGAGGGUCGAUAUAUUUGCCUUAAGCAUCUACGGAUUAGUGAUCUUUCCUAUGGCUUUGAGGCACGUGGACGAGGUGGUCAUUGACUUGUUUGAUCAUCUUGAAAAGGGAAUCACACCGGUUGUAGCGACGUAAAACAUUUUUGCUUAGCUUGGUCGCUAAUUGUGGCUAUUUAUUGAAAAAAUGUUUGAAAUUUGACGUUUGAUUUUUGAAAUAAAUAGGGAGUCGCCACUGAUCCUUUUUCCUAGGUGUGAUCGGACACCUAUUAGAUCUCUUAUUAAAACAAAUAAAAGGCUGAGUUUAGGUCUACGUUAAAAUCCAAAGAAAAAUUAAGGUUCGGGAGUCGGUUACGCGCGAGGAAGGUAUUAGCACCCUCGCGACGCCCAAAAUUGGUAUCUUAUAAACAUGUGUUGUCUUGAUUUUCAAAAAUACGAGUUCAAUUUAAAUUCUAAUCGUGAUCCGAUUUAAAAGACGAGAACUUUCAAUUUUUGAUUUUUGAGAAGGAUAUUCCGUUUUAACAUGAGCCGACAAAUUCCAUCCAACAUAGCGAUGAAAUUCGAUGACUUAAUAUUAAAUCGGUACAUUGCCUUGAUUAUUGAAAUUAAUUAGAAAACAAGAAUCUAAUUUUUGAGGUAAUGUAAAACAAAAUUGAUAUGGAAUAUAAAUAAAUGGCAGAGCUAGGUACAUAUUGAAGCAGAUAAUUAAUGUGAUAAUAAAAUUAAAACAUAAUAAUAGUGCAUGCAAAAUUAAAUGUAAUGAUAAUAUCAAAUACAAAAAACAAUGAAUAUACACACAUAAAAAUGAUAUUAAGAACAUGUACGUCAAAAUACAUAUAUAUAUAAUUAGUAAUAAUGUUAGAAAUAUAUUUGAAAUAUUCCUGAAAUGAUAAAAAAAUAUAACAAUUAAUGUUAAAAUAUAUACAUAAUAAUAGAUAUUGAAGGAUGUAUGUACAUGAUAAAGAAAAUAUAUACGUGAAAAUAUAUAUAAAAGAUAGCAAAGAAAUAUGUACAUGGAAAAAUAUAUAUAUAAAAAAUAUAACUAAUAAUAUUGAAAAUAUAUAUACGUGCAUAAUGUAUAACAAUGAACAUAUAUCAUACAUAUUAAAAAUGCUAAUAACAUAAACAAUAUUAAUAACACUACACGAAUAUGCGCAUGGGACAAUAUCAAAUACAUACAUGGAAAUAUAUAAGCAAUAUAUAACUAAUAAUAUCCAAAUAUACACAUAGUAAUAUAUAUAAAAGAUAUAUGUAUAUAUAUAAUAUAAUAUUAAAAUAUAAUAAUACAACAUAAAAAAAACAUGAUACAAAUAAAGUAUAGUAUUAAGAACACAUAUAUAUAAUAUAUGAAGAAUAUACAUAACACUAAAAUAUUUAGGUAAUAUAUACGUAUUAAAAAAAAGCUAGUAAUAAUAUUACCUAGGUAUAUACAUAUAUAUCAAGUAUAUAUACGUAUUAUAAAUAUAUAAAUAUAUAACAAAGCAUAAACUAAUAAUAAUAAGAAUAAUAAUAAUAAUGAUAACAUUGGAAUAUAAUAGAAACAAACAUAACAUUAAUAAAAUAUUAAAAUAAAGUGAAAUAAAAAUAUUAAAUAUGAAUAUAUAUAUGUACACACGUACAUAAUAAAAAUAUAUACUAAUACACAAUAAUAAUAAUAAUAGUAAUACUAAUAAUACUAAUAAUAUAAAAAUAACAAGGAUAUUUAAUAAAGAUAUAAAAAUAAACGAAAAAAGGACUAAAAUUAAAUUAAAAACAAAGUUGUGGGGCCAAUUUGAAAUGAAAACAAAAAAAGGGACUUAAUUGUACGCGCGUGAAACGUUGGGGGACCGAAACAGCAAUAUCUCCACUCCCUCUAAACGCAGUGCAUCAACAGGACUAAUUUGAUAACCUCAAAAAAAUCAUGGGGCCGAAUUGAAAACCAUAAAAAACUUAAUUGCGAAGCAUCAGAAAAGCGGAAGGACUGCGCGCAUAAAUAUCCCAUUCAAACGAAAACACGCGGAUCCUCUAGCGGGUCGGGUCGGGUCGGAUGGGUCUGGUAUGGUGAAACGACGUCGUUUUGGAGGGCUAUAAAUAGACCUAAUUUCAGAAAAAAAGAUCAUUUGUGAAAGGAAAAGAAAAAAAAAAGAAAAAGAGGAAGAGAGAGGGGGGCUACCGGCCAGAGGGCCGGUCACCGGACGGCCACCGGAGGUUUGUCGAAUUUUUGAUUAUCUUCUGUUUUACUGUUAUUCUCUGCUUUUGAUUUGCUCUGCUAUUGCUGGAAAAAUCACUAGUUUCUAUUGAUUUUUUUUUGUAUUUUGAAAGUGCCGACCCUCUUACAAUUUUCAUUUGGGUUUUUAUAUCCCUUUCUUGUACAAGUUGCUUUCUGUUUUUCUACUUUCUGUUUUUCUACUUUCUGUCUUGUCUUGUUUUAAUGCUUGCAGGUAUUGUGGCGGUGCUGAGCAGUGGCCAGGGGUUGGUGCGGCGCUGGUCAGACUUUGGUGACAGUGGCGGCACAAGUGGGUGCCGAAAGUGGGGCUAGGGUUUGGGGUUAGGUAUGAUUAGGGUUGGGGGUAAUUUGGGCUGUUGGGUUUUAAAGAUUAGUGGGUAUGGGUUGUAAUUGGGUUUUGGGUUAGCUCGGUGGGUUGCUUUUGGGAUUAAUGGGUUAAUGUUGUAAGGUAUUUGGGUUUAUGUAAACGGGUCGGGCAAAAUUGGGCAUGUAUUUGGGCCAAAAAUUGGCCUACAACACCGGUACCGGCAAUAUUGGCAGAAACAUUCAUAUCUUUGAGCUCAUGUCGGAAGACAGGCGAUGGACGAUUUAUUGGAUGUGCUUAACUAUUGAUGAUAUGGUUUCAGGGGCACUUUUGGAAAGUGUACAAGGUUUCCUAUCGAGUAUUUUCCGAAGGUUAUUCUCCUUUGAAAGACGAAGCAGCUAUACAGAGGAGAGAGGAUAUCUCGGAGGAGAAGUGGAUGGAUAUUUUUCAGAACCUUAAGGAGGAGGAUAUCGAGUGGAGAGCUUAUUGGAUGGUUCCUGAUGAGAUCAUGUACCGAUGUGGUAACUUUGGUUGGGUGCCGUUGUUAGGAAUUUGGGGAGCUACCGGGUAUACUCCACUGUUAGCCUUCAGGCAAUAUAAGUCGAGGCAGUUUGUACCCACGACCUACUGGCUUGCUCAGAGCGAAUUCUCUUUUAAGGGUGCUCACUAUAAGAAGAGAGUUCGGGAGUUAUCGGAUGCUUGGAAGCAAAUUUGUUGGAUGAAAAGGUUAGCCGCCGGUUCCAUGGUAACGCCCGAGUACAGCGAGUGGUUUAAGAAGAGGAUUAAUGAUAAUAUUCCUAGGCCAAGCUUGGAGAGUGCUUGACCUAUCGGGGAACAAUUACAAGUCGCCCCAUCAGAAUUGGAGAUUAUAAGGCAAGAUUUCGAGAAGAAGAGUUUGGAGCUUGGGAAGAAGAUCGAACAAUUGGAGGAAGAAAAGAUGCGCCUAAGAUUAGAGGCUGAUGUCCAGAGGUCAGAGGCUGAGAAGUGGAGAAGAAAGGGAAAAACUAAGGCUGAAGAAGAUCUAGACAGUUUGAAAACGGAUUAUAAGAAGCUGCGCCUGUCUAUGAGAACUGCGGGUUUAGGUAAGACUUCCGAACAAUGGCGCCAUGAAAUUCAGGAAGAAAAGGCCAAUAUCGACCGGUGGGAAAGGAAAUUUCGAGAAGCUCGAGCAUGAAACGAAGAUUUGGAGAAAAGUCUGUCAGAAAGCAGAAAUGAGCGAGGGGAAUUAAGGACUACAGUGGCAGAACUUGAGAAGUCCCUACAUCAGUACCGAAACCGCAACACUGCGACGAAAUUGAGGGUAAACUUAAGCAAGAUAGAAGAAAUGAAAGGAAAAAUAGAAGAGUUAGAAGCGUCACUGCAAAAUUGUGAGAUGCGAGUCCAGUUUUUAGAAGCAAAUGAGAAUCGUUGGAGAGAGCAGCUUCACCAUGCGCAGGACCAAGUCAGAAACAGGGAUUACCUUAUGGGGGAGGCCAUAACCCAGAUUCGGGAAGUAGCGGACUACUUGCAAACUUUAGCUGUUCAGGCGGACACACUAAGUGUGAAAUAUGAGUUAGAGUCGGAGCGCAGACAAAAGCUGGCCUCGUUGCUUAGAAAAAUUAGGACUUUAAGUGUUAGAGCGAAAUUUUAUUUGUAAACUCGACUUUUUGUAAAAGAUUUUAUUUUCAAGUGAAAUUUUCUAAGGGCAAUUGAAUCAAAAUUGAUGCCUCCUUUGCAUUCAUGCAUUUGCAUUACAUCAUAUCAUUAUGCAUCAAAGGCCAUAAGAGUUUUCUGAUUAAUUAAUUAAAAAUUAUUUCAGUAACCUGGAAACCAAUGAAAACCAACAAACCACGCACCCCUACGAUACAAGAAAAAAAUCAAUGGAUAAGAGACUCGAGAAAUUGGAGCAAAUGCAAAAAGACAUGCAAGAACAAAUGCAGUCUCAGAUGCAAGAGCAGCUAGCCAAGAUUCAACGAGAGAUGAAGGAACAAAUGAUGGAGUCCCAAGAGAAAUGAUGUCCCAGUUAUCCAAGUUGUUGUUGGGAGAAACGGAUAAGGGAAAGGGCCCCAUGGACAAAGUUGAAGAAACUAAUGAGGAUCCUCAAUACCCUCUUUGCUUCACUUUGACACAUGUACCAAUAAAGCCCGAGAUUAAUCUACCGAAACCAUCUAUCACGAUCAUGCCCCAGCAGGUUCAGGCUGGAGCUUCAAUACCGAUGAAUUUCCAAACUGGCUCAGGCUCUAACUUUGUCAACAACCCAAAUUAUCCGGCUGUUCCCGACUUGGAUGAAAUUACUGAAGAAGAAAAGGCGAGGAUGGAUUCGCAAAAACAAUUAGAAAAACGGUGUAGAUGGCUUGAGGAGAAAUUUAAAGCCAUGGAGAGCGCAGAUUAUCAUCAAGGGAUUGAUGCCAAAGACCUGAGUCUAGUCCCAGACUUAGUCCUUCCCCCUAAAUUCAAAAUGCCCGAAUUCGAAAAAUACAAUGGAACGAGCUGUCCCGAAGCCCACAUCACUAUGUUCUGCAGGCGAAUGACGGGAUAUGUUAACAAUGACCAGCUAGUAAUCCACUGCUUUCAAGAUAGUCUGGUUGGGGCGGCGUCUAAGUGGUACAACCAAUUAAGCCGAGCUAAAAUUAAUUCAUGGAAGGACCUGGCUCAGGCCUUUAUGAAGCAAUACAGUCAUGUGACGGACAUGACCCCCGACAGAAUCACUGUUUAGAAUAUAGAGAAAAAGUCAAAUGAAAGCUUCAGGCAGUACGCACAAAGAUGGAGGGAGGUGGACAUACAAGUUCAGCCACCACUUCUAGAAAAAGGAGAGAACGAUGCUCUUUAUAAAUACCUUGAAGGCCCCUUUUAUCACCCAUAUGUUGGGAAGCGCCACCAAGAGCUUCUCCGACAUAGUGAUGACAGGGGAAAUGAUCAAAAAUGCCGUGAGAAGCCGUAAGAUAGAAGCUGGAGAAAAUACCAGAAAGUCGGUCUCUAGAAAAAGAGACAAUGAAGUGAAAAACACGAGCACAUCUAAAAAAGGUCAGUCCAAGUCAUUCACCGUAAAUCAACCCAAGACGGUGACCACCAGUCAGCAACGUUCUAUAAGACAAGAAUCCAACGCGAGGGAGAACACAGAAAGGCCACAAUUCACACCUAUACCCAUGACGUAUAGGGAAUUGAACCAGAACCUGUUCAACGCUCAUGUGGUCUCCCCUUUCUACCUGAAGCCACUGCAGCCCCCGUAUCCCAAAUGGUAUGACGCGAACUCCCAAUGUGAGUACCACGCAGGAAUCAACGGGCACUCUAUCGAAAACUGUGCCGCGUUAGAAAAUUAGUCAAAAGACUCAUUAAGAUGGGGAUCGUGAGAUUUGAUGAUCCUGCUACACCCAAUGUAGCAGGAAACCCGCUCCUCAAUCAUACCGGCCAAGGAGUGAAUGGGAUAAGCGAAGGCUCGAACAAGAAGACCAAGUAUGAGGUGGCAGAAGUCAGGACCCCAUUGGGGCGGGUAUGGAAAGAGAUGGCCAAGAGAGGAUUGAUUGCGUGGGAUUCGAAGAAAGAAUCUGAAGAAGAGAGAAACUACUAUGAGUUUCACAACGAGGUGGGGCAUGAAAUCUAAGAUUGCGUAGAGUUCAGGGCCCUAGUACAAAACAUGAUGAACGAUAAGGAAAUAGAAUUCUUUGAAGAGAGCGAAAGCCCCAUAGAGGGAAAUAUAUGUGCAUCAGAGGGAGGAUCAGCAGCCCAGAAUCAAACGACCAACUACCUUGUGGUUAUCAUAUCGAGACCCAAAAACAAUGAAGCUGGAGUACAAAUGCCACCGAGGGUCAUAAUCCAAAGACCUGCAGUCUUCCCUUACAAUGACAGUAAAAAGGUCCUCUGGAAAUAUGAUUGCAGUGUGACGAUGCCGGGAAAAGAAAGUCCAGUUGACGCUUCGAGAGGGGAUCAAGACAGGGGUUCCUAUACACGUAGCGGGAGACAUUACGAUACAGCGAAUAAGGAGGCACAGCCCACAAAAGGAAAAGCCCAGGUGGUCGAGGAAAUGAAGGGAAAAGCAACCAAACCUAUUAACGAGCCAGUUAACGAAGAGGAGGCCAAGGAGUUUUUAAAAUUCCUAAAGCAUAGCGAAUACAGUGUGGUGGAAUAGCUACGUAAACAACCAGCCCGUAUUUCGGUGCUGGCCUUGCUUCUGAGCUCAGAAGUACAUCGUAGCGCGCUAAUGAAGGUCUUGAACGAAAUGUAUGUUGCCAAUGAUAUUUUUGUUAACAAGUUGGACCGUUUGGUGAGCAACAUAAGUGACGACAAUUAUAUUUUCUUUAAUGACGAUGAGAUACCACCCGGUGGCAUGGGGUCGACUAAAGCUCUGCAUAUCACCACACGCUGUAAAGGGUAUACACUGCCAGGUGUACUGAUUGACAAUGGAUCAGCUUUGAACGUCCUGCUAUUGACCACGCUGAACAGUUACCUAUAGACAGUUUUCACAUGAAGGAGUGCUAGAACAUCGUGAAAGCAUUCGAUGGCACGGAGAGAAAGGUGAUGGGCAGAAUCGAGGUACCUCUUCAGAUUGGGCCAAACACAUAUGAGGUGGAUUUUCUCGUGAUGGAUAUCAAGCCCUCAUACAAUUGCUUGUUGGGGAGGCCCUGGAUACAUUCAGCUGGGGCAGUGCCUUCCUCGUUGCAUCAAAAGUUGAAGCUAAUAUCGAAAGGGAGGUUGAUAACGAUCAAAGCUGAAGAGGAUAUUAUUGCAACUGUGAGCAAUAAUGCACCCUAUUUGGAAACGGAUGACGAAGCAAUCGAAUGUUCAUUUCGAUCUUUGGAAUUUGUUAAUGCGACGUUCAUCACCGAGGGAAGCAAAAUCCUAGUGCCGAAAUUGUCCAAAACCACGAGGAUGAGCCUCCAGCUGACAUUUAGAAAAGGGGCCCUACCCGGAAGGGGACUUGGGAGACAUCUUCAAGGAAGGGUCGAAACGCCAACGCUGAAAGACAAGAGAGACCGCUUCGGCUUAGGAUUUAAGCCGGAUGUGAAACAAAGGAGGAGGGAGCUGGAAAAGAAGCAAGAAAGAAGGAGAGCUCGAUUAACGGAGGAGGAAAUCAAGUGGGAACCUAUGAUAUUCCCCCAUAUAUCGAAAACAUUUGUUUUUGGGGGAAUUAUUCAUCCUGAGAGAGACACGCUAAUGACGGGAGCUAUAGAAGAAAGGCUGGAAAGCUUGGACAUUAACGUCAUGUACAAAAAGGAGACUGAAAGAGAAAGUUUAUCGGAAAUUGGACCCUACACACCUGGAAGUGUUCUGGACAACUGGACUGUGGAAGAGAUCCCUGUAGUUUUUAGAACGGAUUCAGAGUAAUGUCCAAAGCACACUUAUUGCUUUAGGACUAGGAGUGAUAGGGAUCUUUUAUGAAGUAGGCUAAUGUUUAAAAAUGUUGUUUCAAUAAAAAUGCACGGUUAUUAUCAUUUUUGAGCAAAUGUUCUCUCAUCCUCUCAAUUUCAUUCAUAAUCAUACAAAUGACUACUUUUGGAUUUUUUUAUCCUUGAAACAUUCUUCUAAAUAUUAUUUCAUUCGUCAUUCAUAAUCAUAUCACGCAAAUAAAUGUUUCAAAUUCUUUUGAUUCUUUGUAUCUGCCUUCGUCCUCAUAACAGGUCCCCAGAUAUUAAUGAUACGAGUGACACUGCUAGCGACUCAGAAUUUCCUUUUGAGCAAGAUGUGUGUAUGGAUGAUUCUCAGGAUUUUGAAGAUGACCAAGGCUGUAACCUAUCACCUGAUUUGUUGAGGAUGGUAGAACAAGACGAGAAACAAAUCCUACCUUACAAAGAAUCAAUCGAAAUUGUGAGCUUAGGAGAAGGACAAGAGGUGAAGAUCGGAACAUGUAUCACUGCGGAAAUGAAGCGAGACCUCAUUGAAUUACUUCAAGAAUUCAAAGAUAUCUUCGCAUGGUCAUACCAAGAUAUGCCCGGGUUGGAUACUGACAUCGUGGUGCACCGACUCCCCAUAAAAGAAGAGUGUAAGCCUGAUCAGCAAAAAAUCUGAAGAAUAAGGCCUAAGGUCUUGCUAAAAAUAAAGGAAGAAGUUCGAAAGCAAUUUGACGCUGGAUUCCUGAAGGUGGUAAAAUACUCAGAUUGGGUAGCCAACAUUGUCCCUGUCCCUAAGAAAGAUGGAAAAGUGCGAAUGUGUGUGGACUACAGAGAUUUGAAUAAAGCCAGCCCAAAAGACAAUUUCCCACUGCCUCAUAUCGACACCCUAGUGGACAACACGACAGGACACUCACUAUUCUCAUUCAUGGACAAUUUUUCCAGAUAUAACCAGAUCAAUAUACAUCCUGAAGACAUGGAGAAGACCAGGUUUGUAACCAUGUGGGGCAUGUUCUGCUACAAAGUGAUACCAUUUAGACUGAAGAAUGCGGGGGCAACUUAUCAAAGGGCCAUGGUAACCCUUUUUCACGACAUGAUGCAUAAAGAAAUUGAGGUCUAUGUUGAUGACAUGAUAGCUAAGUCUCGAACAGAGAAGGAGCACAUACAAUUCUUGAGGAAAUUGUUCUUGAGGUUGAGAAAGUUCCAGCUAAAACUCAACCCAGCCAAAUGUACCUUCGGAGCAAAGUUUGGAAAGUUACUCAGAUUCGUGGUUAGUGAGAAGGGGAUUGAGAUCGAUCCAGACAAAGUUAAAGCCAUACAAGAGUUAUCCCCGCCGCGCACUCAGAAAGAAGUUCGAGGCUUUCUAGGAAGAUUAAAUUACAUUGCUCGGUUCAUUUCACAACUGACUGAGAAAUGUGACCCUGUCUUUCGCCUCCUCAAGAAACAUAACCCAGGAGAAUGGGAUGAAGAAUGCCAAAUGGCUUUCGACAAGGUCAAACAGUACUUAUCCAACGCCCCGGUACUGAUGCCACCUAACUCCGAUAAGCCGUUGAUAUUGUAUUUGGUAGUAUUCAGAAACUCUAUGGGAUGCGUAUUGGGUCAACAUGAUGAGUCAGGAAGGAAAGAGAAGGUCAUUUACUAUCUUAGUAAAAAGUUCACAGAAUGUGAGACAAGGUACCCGCCGAUAGAGAAGUUGUGUUGUGCCCUGAUUUGGACAACCCGAAGACUGAGGCAGUAUAUGUUGUAUCACACCACUUGGCUUAUCUCAAAAUUGGAUCCCUUGAAGUACAUGAUGAAGUCAACAGCCUUGAAUGGAAGGAUGGCCCGAUGGCAGAUUCUGCUUUCUGAAUUCGACAUAGUCUAUGUGAACCAGAAAGCAAUAAAAGGAAGUGCAAUAGCAGAUUUUCUAGCUAGUAGAGCUUUGGAAGACUACGAGCCUUUGAACUUCGACUUUCCGAAUGAAGACCUAAUGUGUGUUGCUACCACUGAAGAAGGUGCUCUCAAGGAACUUCCAAGGAAAUUGAAUUUCGAUGGGGCGUCAAAUGCUGUGGGCAAUGGAAUCGGGGUCGUCUUAGUAUCCCCAAACGGAGAUCAUUAUCCAUUUACUAGUAAAUUAGAUUUUGAUUGCACGAAUAAUAUGGCAGAAUACGAGGCGUGCAUCAUGGGAGUCCGCGCAGCCAUAGAACGCAAGAUUAAAGUGCUAGAGGUGUAUGGGGAUUCCGCGCUAGUGAUUAUCAACUCAAAGGAGAAUGGGAGACCAGAGACCCCAAGUUAAUCGAUUAUCGAAAGCUGGUCCUUGAAUUGGUUAAAGAGUUUGAUGACAUUACCUUCAACUACCUUCCACGAGACGAAAAUCAGAUGGCUGAUGCUUUUGCUACCUUAGCCUCCAUGAUCAAGGUGAACAAACAAGAAGAUGUCAAACCCAUCCGGAUGAGCAUUUAUGAAGUUUCAGCCCACUGUUACAAUAUUGAAGAAGACGGAGAGAAAUAUGAUCACCUUUGGUAUCAUGAUAUAUUGCAAUACGUGAGGAAUCGUGAAUACCCGAAUCAGGCAAGCGAGAAUGAAAAAAGAAAGCUAAGAAGAUUGGCCAUCGACUAUGUCUUAGAUGGGGAUAUCCUGUGCAAAAAAAGAAAUGAUCAAGUGCUACUAAGAUGUGUAGACGCUGUAGAGGCUAAGAAAAUCUUAGAAGAAGUCCAUGAAGGUGUCUGUGAGACACACGCUAAUGGCUUUACAAUGGCCAGGCAAAUUAUGAGAUUCGGGUACCAUUGGUCCACCAUGGAAGGAGACUGUAUCAAUUACGCUAAAAGAUGCCAUAAGUGCCAAAUCUACAGAGACAAAAUUCAUGUACCUCCUUCACCGCUGCAUGUCAUGGUUUCUCCAUGGCCAUUCUCUAUGUGGGGUAUAGAUGUGAUUGGACCAAUAUCGCCAAAAGCUUCCAAUGGGCAUCGUUUCAUCUUUGUGGUUAUCGACUAUUUCACCAAAUGGGUAGAAGCCGCUUCGUAUGCUAGUGUUACAAAGUCAGCAGUAAGCAGGUUCCUGAAAAAAGAGAUCAUAUGUCGAUAUGGAAUGCCGGAGAGGAUCAUAUCUGACAAUGCAUUAAACCUAAACAAUAGUACGAUAGCAGAAGUCUACAGUCAAUUCAAGAUCAGACAUCACAACUCGUCACCAUAUCGUCCGAAGAUGAAUGGGGUGGUGGAAGCGGCCAAUAAAAAUAUUAAGAAGAUUGUGGGGAAGAUGAUCGAAACCUACAGAGACUGGCAUGAGAAAUUACCAUUUUCCCUAUUUGCUUAUUGAACGUCAGCCAGAACCUUAACCGGGGCAACCCUUUUCUCUUUGGUCUACGGAAUGGAAGCGAUGUUGCCAAUCGAAGUCGAGAUCCCGUCUCUUCGAGUGUUGUCAGAGUUAAAGUUAGAAGAAGCCGAGUGGAUCCAGUCUCGAUAUGAUCAAUUGAACCUAAUUAAGGAAAAGAGGUUAAGAGCUAUCCGUCAUGGUCAGAUGUACCAAAAGCGAAUGAUGCGGGCUUAUGACAAAAAGGUUCACCCUAGAGAAUUCCACGAGGGAUACUUGGUUUUGAAAAAGAUCCUUCCCAUACAGAAGGACUUUCGAGGGAAAUGGAUGCCUAAUUGGGAAGGGCCUUACGUGGUGAAGAAAGCUUUCUCUGGAGGAGCAUUGAUUCUAGCCGAGAUGGACGGUAGAAACUUGCCCAAUCCUAUAAACUCGGAUUCGGUCAACAAGUAUUUUACCUGAAGAAAGAGAGGCCAGAGUGAAAACCCGCAAAGGGCGCUCUGAAAUCCAAAAAACAAAAAAAACCGAGAGGCCAAAGUGAAAACCCGCAAAGGGCACUUUGAGACCAAAGGGGCUUUUGAGCUGAAAACCCGAAAACAGGCAGCUCAAAUUUUGAAUAUGGGGCAUAUGGUAGUCUUGUCCUCUGAAAAUCAGCAAAACAGAAGAAUAUUACACCUUGGAGCAUCAACAAAAUACGCGGGAUCUCCUGAACACACAUUUGGUUCGAAUGAGCUUUUGAGAAAUUAGAAUAGUGAAACUCGUGCUGCGAUAUCUGGGGCACCUUUUUUUGCACCUUAUCAGAAUCGUUAUCCUAUGUAUUCACAUCAAAUUUUGCUUACUAAAAUUCCAUUGGUCCAUUAUGAUAAUCUCUUUCAAGCAUUUUUGUUGAAAUCGCGAUUUUUGAACAUGUAAUAUUCACACAAAAGAUGUUAUGCAUAUUACUUUGGAAAGUCUCUAAAUGGUACAAGGACCUGAAACAGGGCCACUAGUUAGGACUAACCAGGUUCAAAGUUGGAAAACAUUGAGAAAAGAGUAGUCCAAAUUAUGACUAUUUCUUUAAAUUUUCUAUCAGAGAUAACGGUUAAGCAAGAAGACGCGAUAGCACAUCAAUGAUAGAACCCAGAUGAAUUAUGAGCAAUAACACCUUAAGCGUUUAAAAAAGGAAUCACUCUCAUAACAUUUCUACAUUCAUAAUCAUUCAUUUAGUUAGGAGUACUUGGUUCAUUCCGAUCAUAGCCUUCUAGUUACUUGACAUAAACACCACGUAUAGCCAGGGGCAUUGGAUUCAUUUAGAUCAUGGCACCCUAAUUUUUUGGCGUACACAAAUACAGGAAACCCAUUCUACACAUCAUGUCUUUAAAAGACAGUGUAGCGACAUUGGCGAAUCUAGCAGAUUUGGCAUCUCCGUAUUGGCAGAGAGCAGAUCGAAGAUAGUAGAUUUGGCGUCUCUGUAUUGGCGGAGAGCAGAUCGAAGGUAGCAGAUUUGGCGUCUCUGUAUUAGCGGAGAGCAGAUCGAAGAUAGCAGAUUUGGCGUCUCUGUAUUGGCGGAGAGCAGAUCGAAGAUAGUAGAUUUGGCAUCUCUGUAUUGGCGGAGAGCAGAUCGAAAAUAGCAGAUUUGGCGUCUCUGUAUUGGCAGAGAGCAGAUCAAAUAUAGCAGAUUUGGCGUCUUUGUAUUGGCGGAAGCAGAUCGAAGAUAGCAGAUUUGGCAUCUCUGUAUUGGCAGAGAGCAGAUCGAAAAUAACAGAUGGGUGUUCCUGAGUUUUCAAGAAGCAAGUUGAGGAUAGCCAAUUUGCCACUCUUGAAGGCAUCAGAAUACCUUUGGGGGAGAUGAUGACCAAGAUUUUGAGACUUAGCCAGACCGGGCAAAUUUGUUCCUUUUUAUAGUCUUUGCUCUAUUCUCGUUACACGACAAUGAGCAAAGAGGGGCAGCUGUAACGGGCCAAAUCUGCUCGGGGCCCAACAACCAAAAAACCAAAAUUAAAAACAAAACAAAAAAAAUAUAAUAAAAACCCAAUAACAUAUAGUCCAUUAAAUGUCUAUUUAUAGACUUUAGCCUGAAACACUACAAACCCAAACCCAAUUUUUAGACCCAAAACCAAAUUAACCUCAAUGCCCAAACUAAUGCCUUACGGUCUAAUUACAAAAAUUAUGGCCCAACUACUAGAAUAGGCCCGAAAAGCCCAAAUUGUCAAUGUUCCAGAAACCCUAGGGCUCUCCCUCGCUUUGCGCCGCAACCGAGCCCCCCCUCAGCGCCUCCGUACGCUCUAGUCUCCAGCAACCACGCCAACACAGCCCCGUACGCCUCACGCCAAGGGCCAGCGCACGCCCGUACUCUAAUUGCAAGAAGGACUAUCCACACAACAGUAAACACAAACAAAAAUAGCAGAACAACAAAUGAAAAAAUGGCAUUUUUAAUUUAUUUUCCUUUUUUCUUUUUUCCUUCGGCUAUAAAGCCAUAGUUCUUAGUCUAUGUAAAGGUUACGAACGCUUACGCACAUGGAGAGAUACAAAAAAAAGAAUCAAAUAACAAAAGGUGAUUUCUUUUGUUUUUCUUCUGGGUUUU
rnacentral:lncRNA from 1 species